rnacentral:tRNA from 1 species
GUUCCUGUAGUUGAAUACAACGGUGGCUUUUCGAGUCAUAGGUCUCGGGUGAGGGCCGAGUAGGAACU